UAAUACGGGGGGAGCAAGCGUUGUCCGGAUUCAUUGGGCGUAAAGGGCGUGUAGGUGGAUCUGUAAGUGAGAGGUGAAAGCCCGGGGCUUAACUCCGGAACGGCCUUUCAUACUGCAGGUCUCGAGUGCGAGAGGGGGAGAUGGAAUUCCUGGUGUAGCGGUGGAAGGCGUAGAUAUCAGGAGGAACACCGGUGGCGAAGGCGAUCUCCUGGCUCGCAACUGACACUAAGGCGCGAAAGCGUGGGGAGCAAACAGGAUUAGAUACCCUGGUAGUCCACGCUGUAAACGAUGGGCACUAGGUGUUGGAGGAGUUCGACCCCUUCAGUGCCGUAGCUAACGCGUUAAGUGCCCCGCCUGGGGAGUACGAUCGCAAGGUUG
rnacentral:rRNA from 1 species